rnacentral:rRNA from 1 species
CCUCCGGGAGGCAGCAGUGGGGAAUAUUGGGCAAUAGGCGCAAGCCUGACCCAGCAACGCCGCGGGCAGGAAGAAGGCUUUCGGGUUGUAAACUUCUUUUCUGCGAGACGAAGAAAGUGACGGUACCUCAGGAAUAAGCCACGGCUAACUACGUGCCAGCAGCCGCGGUAAUACGUAGGUGGCAAGCGUUAUCCGGAUUUAUUGGGUGUAAAGGGAGUGUAGGCGGGAAAGCAAGUCAGAUGUGAAAACUCAGGGCUCAACCCUGAGCCUACAUUUGAAACUGUUUUUCUUGAGUGGUGGAGAGGCAAUCGGAAUUCCGUGUGUAGCUGUGAAAUGCGUAGAUAUACGGAGGAACACCAGUGGCGAAGGCGGAUUGCUGGACAGUAACUGACGCUGAGGCGCGAAAGCGUGGGGAGCAAACAGGAUUAGAUACCCUGGUAGUC